UCCAAGAUAAAAUGGGUAUAAUGUGGACAAACUUUGUGCUUCUUGUCAACACUCUGGCAGCAGCAUUUUGAACCAUUUGGAGACCCCUAAUGCUGGACUGCGGUAAACCAGAAAAUAAAACAUUGCAGUUGUCCAAUCUAGACGAGAC